GAUGAACGCUGGCGGCGUGCCUAAUACAUGCAAGUCGAGCGAACAGACGAGGAGCUUGCUCCUCUGACGUUAGCGGCGGACGGGUGAGUAACACGUGGAUAACCUACCUAUAAGACUGGUAUAACUUCGGGAAACCGGAUCUAAUACCGGAUAAUAUAUUGAACCGCAGGGUUCAAUAGUGAAAGACGGUUUUGCUGUCACGUAUAGAUGGAUCGGCGCUGUAUUAGCUAGUUGGUAAGGUAACGGCUUAUCAAGGGAACGAUGCCUAGGCGAACUGAGAGGGGGAUAGGCCGCAGUAGAGGUGGGACACGGUCCAUACUCCUACGAGAGGCAGCAGUAGGGAAUGUUCCGCAAUGGGGGAGAGCCUGACGGAGCGAGGCCACGUGUGUGAUGAAGGUCUUGGGAUCGUAAAGCUCUGUUAUGAGGGAAGAACAGAUGUGUAAGUAGAUGUGCACGUAGUGACGGUACCUAAUCAGAAAGCAACGGCUAACUACGUG
rnacentral:rRNA from 1 species